AUGCAUAUCUAUACACACACACACACACACACAUAUAUAUAUAUAUAUAAAUCCGUGUGUGUGUGUAUAUAUAUAUUCAU
rnacentral:miRNA from 1 species